GACGAACGCUGGCGGCGUGCCUAAUACAUGCAAGUCGAACGCUUCUUUCCUCCCGAGUGCUUGCACUCAAUUGGAAAGAGGAGUGGCGGACGGGUGAGUAACACGUGGGUAACCUACCCAUCAGAGGAGGAUAACACUUGGAAACAGGUGCUAAUACCGCAUAACAGUUUAUGCCGCAUGGCAUAAGAGUGAAAGGCGCUUUCGGGUGUCGCUGACGGAUGGACCCGCGGUGCAUUAGCUAGUUGGUGAGGUAACGGCUCACCAAGGCCACGAUGCAUAGCCGACCUGAGAGGGUGAUCGGCCACACUGGGACUGAGACACGGCCCAGACUCCUACGGGAGGCAGCAGUAGGGAAUCUUCGGCAAUGGACGAAAGUCUGACCGAGCAACGCCGCGUGAGUGAAGAAGGUUUUCGGAUCGUAAAACUCUGUUGUUAGAGAAGAACAAGGACGUUAG
rnacentral:rRNA from 1 species